rnacentral:RNase_P_RNA from 1 species
GCGGGGGAACUCCUGGCCGCGCCCCCCUGUGGGGUGAGGAAAGUCCGGGCACCGCAGGGCAGGAUGCCAGCUAACGGCUGGUCGGCGAGUCAAGCGUUCACGCCCGCGCCCCGGGGCGUGAACGGCGGCGAAGCCGAAGGACAGUGCCACAGAAACCAGACCGCCUCCUUCCAGCGCGUGAGCGCAGCCCCCGGCGCGGGUGGGAAAGGGGUCAGGGUGAAACGGUGCGGUAAGAGCGCACCAGGCCCCCGGGAGACCGGGAGCGCUGGUAAACCCCAUCCGGUGCAAGACCCGACAGAGCGGUAGGGCGGCCCGCCCGUUACUCCGCCAGGAUGGUCGCUUGAGGCGGCUGGCGACAGCCGUCCCAGAGAGAUGGUCAGGCUGCCUUCACGGCAGACAGAACCCGGCUUACCGUUCCCCCGCCCAG